GCGGGACCUCUCUGAUUGGCCGUGGUCCAGUUGAAAGUGCAGGUGAAAGAGAGAGGAUCACAACCGAGAACCUGGUGAUGGACUUCAUGACAGUUUGGUAUAGGAGUUGCUCUGCCAACAACUGAAGAUCAUUACAGAGAGUGCCAGAGGUGUCAGAAAACACCAGUGGCAAGAGCCUUACUGCCAUUAAGGACAUCUACCUCAAGUAGUGCCUACACAAGGCUCACAGCAUUAUCAAAGACUAUAUCCAUCCAGCACACCAGCUAUUCUUGUUGCGGUCAUGCUACAUUGACUACUAGAUUGAAGAACAGUUUUUAUUAUCAGGCCAUUAGACUCCUCAACUGCAACACCAGGGCAACCACAAUGCACUCUCUGUGGCUGUUCUUGUUAUCUUCCAGUAUGAAGAUAGUGUGUCACACAUACAGUGCCUCUGUACAGCAAUACUAUGUUGUUCAAUAACUUUAUUUAACCUGUCUGAUACU